UUACAACACAUCUGAACAGGAAAUGAGAAAGAUAAUUAAACUAAGGAAUUUGUAGAAUGAGGAACUACUAAACUUCACCAAAAUGCUGAAGCUCGAUUUCAGUAGAUUGAGCAAUAAUGAAGUGAUGUACAACAAAGGUAAAAAAAUCAAGAAGAGGAGAAAUCAAGGACCCAUCCUUAAAAAAGAGAACUAAUUCUCAAUAAUUUUAUUAAUGUCAAAUAAUCAUAGUCU
rnacentral:misc_RNA from 1 species